rnacentral:rRNA from 1 species
CGGCAACAGCUCAAAUUUGAAAUCUGGCUCUUUCAGGGUCCGAGUUGUAAUUUGUAGAAGAUGUUUCGGGUGUGGCUCCGGUCUAAGUUUCUUGGAACAGAACGUCAUAGAGGGUGAGAGUCCCGUCUAGAACCUAUAGCCGCGUCCAUGUGAAACUCCUUCGAC